AUAUUGAAUCAUCAGCACAUAGUGAUAGAGAGGGUCUGAUGGAAGGAAGCCAAGACUCCCAGCUGCUUUAACAAGCCAAAGACCAAUUACAGGAAGUACCACAUAUCGAACAAAAACCACAGCAACGAUGAUCCAUGGCUUGAUUCUUGAUGACUUGAAACCUUGAAUAAGGUUGCCUCCAAGGAUAAGAGUAAUACAAGGCAGUGUUCCUUCCCCAAGUAAUGUGAUGGAGUCUUGGAUCACAUGCAGGGGAGCACCACUACCAAUUAUCAGCUUUCUCAGGAA
rnacentral:misc_RNA from 1 species